CCUACGGGAGGCAGCAGUGGGGAAUUUUGGACAAUGGGCGAAAGCCUGAUCCAGCCAUUCCGCGUGAGUGAAGAAGGCCUUCGGGUUGUAAAGCUCUUUCGCAAGGGAAGAAAACUUAGAUACUAAUAUUAUCUGAGGUUGACGGUACCUUGAUAAGAAGCACCGGCUAACUACGUGCCAGCAGCCGCGGUAAUACGUAGGGUGCGAGCGUUAAUCGGAAUUACUGGGCGUAAAGCGUGCGCAGGCGGUUUUGUAAGUCAGAUGUGAAAUCCCCGAGCUCAACUUGGGAACUGCGUUUGAAACUACAAGACUAGAAUAUGUCAGAGGGGGGUAGAAUUCCACGUGUAGCAGUGAAAUGCGUAGAGAUGUGGAGGAAUACCAAUGGCGAAGGCAGCCCCCUGGGAUAAUAUUGACGCUCAUGCACGAAAGCGUGGGGAGCAAACAGGAUUAGAUACCCUGGUAGUCCACGCCCUAAACGAUGUCUACUAGUUGUUGGUGGAGUAAAAUCCAUGAGUAACGCAGCUAACGCGUGAAGUAGACCGCCUGGGGAUACGGUCGCAAGNUUAAAACUCAAAGUGAGUAGAGNGNGAGAGAGCGAGACGACGACGAGGGAGGAGG
rnacentral:rRNA from 1 species